UACGUAGGGUGCGAUCGUUAAUCGGAAUUACUGGGCGUAAAGCGUGCGCAGGCGGUUUUGUAAGCCAGAUGUGAAAUCCCCGGGCUUAACCUGGGAAUGGCAUUUGGGACUGCAAGGCUGGAGUGCGGCAGAGGAGACUGGAAUUCCUGGUGUAGCAGUGAAAUGCGUAGAUAUCAGGAGGAAUACCGAUGGCGAAGGCAGGUCUCUGGGCUGACACUGACGCUCAUGCACGAAAGCGUGGGGAGCAAACAGG
rnacentral:rRNA from 1 species